GAUGAACGCUAGCUACAGGCUUAACACAUGCAAGUCGCGGGGCAGCAUGGGGGUUGCUUGCAAUCCCCGAUGGCGACCGGCGCACGGGUGAGUAACGCGUAUCCGACCUGCCCUUCACCACGGGAUAACCCGGCGAAAGUCGGACUAAUACCGUAUGUUGUCCAUUGACGGCAUCCGAUUUGGACGAAAGGCUUGGCGGUGAGGGAUGGGGAUGCGUCCGAUUAGCCAGACGGCGGGGUAACGGCCCACCGUGGCUACGAUCGGUAGGGGUUCUGAGAGGAAGGUCCCCCACACUGGAACUGAGACACGGUCCAGACUCCUACGGGAGGCAGCAGUGAGGAAUAUUGGUCAAUGGGCGUAAGCCUGAACCAGCCAAGUAGCGUGCAGGAUGACGGCCCUAUGGGUUGUAAACUGCUUUUAUGCGGGGAUAAAGUGGCCCACGGGUGGGCUUUUGCAGGUACCGCAUGAAUAAGGACCGGCUAAUUCCGUG
rnacentral:rRNA from 1 species